AUGGAUGCGCUCCUCAGUGCGGCGCAAUGGGUGGUGGGCAAGGCGCUGGCCCCCGUUGCUGAUGGCGUGCUGGAGGCUUGGGGUGCCACCAAGAACUUGGGUCUCAACAUCGAGGCCUUAAGGAUGGAGCUGCUGCUCGUGAAGGCCACCCUCGAAACUGCCAGCUACAAGAAGGUCGAUGGUCCGGCCAUGCAAGUGCUCCUAGGGAAGCUGCGUGACUCGGCGCUCUCCGCCAAGGACUUGUUGGAUGAGCUGGACUACUUCCGCAUCCAUGAUCAGCUCUACGGCACAUACGAUGCUGCAGACCAGCAUGCCAAGGGCGGCAUCCGCGACCUUGCCCUCAACGUUCGUCACGCCGCCAAAGCUGUUGGCAAACUGACAUUUGUAUCUUCAUGCUACUGGUCUGCUGCUAACCCUACAGGUGAUUCUGGAGAAGAUGCAGGACAACGGGCAAGCUGUUGUGCUUGGGCACGUGCUAGGCAGAAGCCACGCGGUAAUUCAUCCGCAACGCCAAAUGCCAAUCAAGAGCCAACUCUUUGUGGUGCGCCACAAAGAGAAAAACCAGUGCUGGGUUUUAAUAGGGUUGAUUUCUCUGAAAGGAUGAGGCAUAUUGUAGAGCAAUUGCAGCCUGUGCGUAAAGAGUUUACUCAGAUUCUGCAGAGUUGUGACCGUAUAACUAUUCCAGAUAUUGCCCAGAGACGUCCCAUUACUAUCGGUCAAAGUAUAGAGCCAAAAUUGUAUGGGAGGGACCUUAUCAUGGAUGCCAUCAUACGUGACAUGACCAAGGGUAAAUACCUUAGCAAUGAUCUAACUGUGCUUCCGAUUGUUGGUCCAGGGGGAAUUGGAAAAACAACUCUGAUACAACACAUAUAUAGAAACCAACAAGUUCAAAAUCAUUUCCAAGUUGUUAUUUGGGUAUGUGUGUCACUCAGUCUCAAUUUGAAUAAGCUGUUAGAAGAGAUUAAUACAUACAUCCCUCGGGUUGAAGGGGAAAAGGAUGGUAGGGUUGAGGAGCUGAUUGAACAAAUAUUAAAAUCUAAAAGGUUUUUGCUUGUACUGGAUGAUAUGUGGGAGUUUAGUCAUGGGGAUGAUUGGAAAAGGUUAUUGUUGCCACUCAAAACAUCGCAAGCAAUGGGUAGCAUGAUUCUGGUCACAACUAGGUUUCCAAAAAUAACAAACAUGGUUGGAACAGCUAAACAUAUUGAAUUGCAAGGGUUAGAAUCUGAAGAAUUUAGGAAGCUAUUCCUUGCAUUUGUCUUUGGCAAUGAGCCCGUUAGAAGUGAUCAAUUUUUUUGCUCGAGAUUGGAAAUAAGAUAA
rnacentral:rRNA from 1 species